GAAAAUACCUUUCCCACGGGUCGUGAACUUCUUUUCUUGAAGAAGAAGCAAUGACGGUAUUUGGGGAAUAAGCAUUGACUAAUUCUAUGCCAGUAGUCGCGAUAAGACAAUGGAUAC
rnacentral:rRNA from 1 species